rnacentral:rRNA from 1 species
AUGACGAUCGCCGGCGGGGAUCUGUCGGUCCGCCGGCGGACGGUGUCGGCAUCGUCUUCCGCGGCUGCCAGGGGCCCCGUCGACGGCGUCCCACGCCGAGCCCGAGCGUGGCUCGCUGUGGCGCUGUGCCUCUUCGCACUGCUGCGGCUCGGGGCGGCGGCGGAGUCGGGCGUCGUCAAGGUGGACGGCCCCGUCGCCAUCGCGUCCACCGGCGACUUCUUCGUCUGCGCCACGCUCGACUGGUGGCCGCCGGACAAGUGCGACUACGGCACGUGCAGCUGGGGCAGCGCCUCCCUACUCAACCUGGACCUCUCCAACGGAAUCCUGCUCAACGCCGUCAGAGCCUUCUCGCCGCUGGUGCUCCGGCUGGGCGGCACGCUGCAGGACAAGGUGAUCUACCACACCCCGGGCGACGGGCGGCUGCCGUGCGUGCCCUUCACCAAGAGCGAGUCGGCGGUGUUCGGCUUCACUCGCGGGUGCCUGACCAUGGCCCGCUGGGACGAGCUCAACGCCUUCUUCCAGAAAUCUGGUGCAAAGGUAGUCUUCGGGCUGAACGCUCUCAACGGCCGUGAUCCGGAUGGCGGGUAUUAUAUGGGAGGGAGCUGGGACAUGACCAAUGCAGCAUCCUUCAUCCAGUACACCGUCAGCAAGGGCUACGACAUCCAUGGCUGGGAGCUCGGAAAUGAGCUCGGAGGCAAGGCAGUCGGCACCUUGAUCGCAGCCGAUAUGUACGCCCAAGACGCUACCUUUCUGAAAUGGGUCAUGGAAUAUAUUUACGAGGACAGCCCAUCGAAGCCGCUGCUGCUCGCUCCGGGAAGCUUCUUCGACGAAGACUGGUUCGGCGAGUUCAUCACCAAAACCAGUCCAGAUACCGUCAGUGUGGUUAGCCACCACAUUUACAACCUAGGGCCAGGGGUGGACACACACAUCGUCGAGAAGAUCCUCGACCCGUCGUUCCUCGAUGGAACGGCAAGAACAUUCAGUGACCUCCAGAGGUUGCUGAAAACCGCAGGGACGUCGGCCGCCGCGUGGGUUGGCGAGGCUGGAGGGGCUUACAACAGUGGCCACCACCUUGUGACCGACGCAUUUGUGUUCAGCUUCUGGUACCUGGACCAACUUGGCAUGUCGGCGAAGUACGACACGAAGACUUACUGCAGGCAGAGCUUCAUUGGUGGCAACUAUGGCCUGCUCAAUACAACAACAUUCCAACCAAACCCUGACUACUACAGUGCUCUACUAUGGCAUCGCCUGAUGGGUAGCACAGUUCUAGACGCCAAAUUCAGCGGCACCAACAACCUGAUCCGUGCCUACGCACAUUGUGCGAAGAACUCGCCAGGGAUCACUAUCUUGCUUAUAAACCUCCACAGCAACGCCAGGAAUGACGUGUCCUUGACAAGUGAGGAGCUGCGUGUAGUUCAGGCGUCUGGAGCCACGAGGGAGGAGUACCACCUCCUCCCUGAAGGUGGCGACAUUCAGAGCCAGGUGAUGAUGCUCAACGGCAGGCCCUUGACCACUGAUGCCGAUGGGAACAUCCCCAGGAUGGAGCCCAUGACAGUGGAUGCAGCGCAGCCCAUCUCUAUUGCGCCUCUGUCCAUUGUUUUUGUUCAUAUGCCCAGUUAUUAUGCCCCUGUGUGUAGUUAA